rnacentral:tRNA from 1 species
CUAAAAAGUCCUCUAAACA